GAAUAUUAGUCAAUGCUCGAAAGAGUGAACUAGCUAACUGAAAUCAAUUAUAAAAAUUGAUAACAUAAGGGAAAAUAAUGAUAUUACCUUAUUAUUAGUGUCGUCCAAAUCUGGUGCCAGAAGACUCGGUAAGGCCAGAGACAUAAACGUUAAUCGUCUUAAUCAGGCGUAAAGGGUUUGUAGGCGGCUUUAAAAUUUACUUAUAAAAAACAAAAUUAAUAAGUAAAAAAUAAAAGCUAGAAUCAAAUAGAGGAUAUAUGAAAUAAUGCUUAGAGUAGGUCUGAUAUCCUUAGAUACUAAGUAGAAUAUUAAAGGCGAAAGCUUUUUUCCAUUAAUGAUUGACGCUCAGAAACGAAGGUGAGGAUAGGAAAUAGGAUUAGAUACCCAGAAUACCCCUCUCUGUCAACGAUGAAUGGUAGUUAUUAGUAAAAAAAUUUAUUAAUAGCAAUGUUAACACGAUAACCAUUCCGCCUUGUGAGUACAACUGCAAAGUUGAAAACAAAAAAAUUAGUCGGUUUCGGAGCAAACGAAGUGAAGCAUGUUAUUUAAUUC
rnacentral:rRNA from 1 species